rnacentral:rRNA from 1 species
UGAGGAAUAUUGGUCAAUGGGCGGGAGCCUGAACCAGCCAAGCCGCGUGAGGGAGGAAGGCCCUAUGGGUCGUAAACCUCUUUUGUCAGGGAACAAAAAGCGAGUAUGUAUACUAGUCUGAGUGUACCUGAAGAAAAAGCAUCGGCUAACUCCGUGCCAGCAGCCGCGGUAAUACGGAGGAUGCGAGCGUUAUCCGGAUUUAUUGGGUUUAAAGGGUGCGUAGGCGGCGGUGCAAGUCAGCGGUAAAAGCCCGGGGCUCAACCCCGGCGAGCCGUUGAAACUGCAGUGCUAGAGAAGGCGAGAGGUACGCGGAAUGCGCAGUGUAGCUGUGAAAUGCUUAGAUAUUGCGCAGAACUCCGAUUGCGAAGGCAGCGUACUGGCGCCUGACUGACGCUGAGGCACGAAAGCGUGGGGAUCGAACAGGAUUAGAUACC